AUUGAACGCUGGCGGCAGGCCUAACACAUGCAAGUCGAACGAGUGGCGGACGGGUGAGUAAUGACUUGGAAACUGCCUGAUGGAGGGGGAGAACUAACGGAAACGGUUGCUACUACCGCAUACCAUCGGAUGUGCCAAGAUGGGAUUAGCGUGUAGGUGGGGGAAAGGCUAACCUAGGCGACGAUCCCUAGCUGGUCUUAGAGGAUGACCAGCCACACUGGAACUGAGACACGGCCCAGCCUCCUACGGGAGGCAGCAGUGGGGAAUAUUGCACAAUGGGCGAAAGCCUGAUGCAGCCAUGCCGCGUGUAUGAAGAAGGCCUUCGGGUUGUAAAGUACUUUCAGCGGGGAGGCGUUACCCGCAGAAGAAGCACCGGCUAACUCCGUGCCAGCAGCCGCGGUAAUUC
rnacentral:rRNA from 1 species